GCCCUGUUAUUAUGGUGGAUAUGACCUUCGGCUUGUAACAGAGGGGCUCGGGUUCGAAUCUCGAACAAGGCA
rnacentral:tRNA from 1 species